UCAACUAAUAGUUUAAUUAAAACUUUAGUUUUGGAUACUAAUAAUAAAUAUUUUUGUAUUUUUAGUUG
rnacentral:tRNA from 1 species